ACUCCUACGGGAGGCAGCAGUGGGGAAUAUUGCACAAUGGGCGCAAGCCUGAUGCAGCGACGCCGCGUGGGGGAUGACGGCCUUCGGGUUGUAAACCCCUUUCAGCACAGACGAAGCGCAAGUGACGGUAUGUGCAGAAGAAGCACCGGCCAACUACGUGCCAGCAGCCGCGGUAAUACGUAGGGUGCGAGCGUUGUCCGGAAUUACUGGGCGUAAAGAGCUCGUAGGUGGUUUGUCGCGUUGUCCGUGAAAACUCACGGCUUAACUGUGGGCGUGCGGGCGAUACGGGCAGACUGGAGUACUGCAGGGGAGACUGGAAUUCCUGGUGUAGCGGUGGAAUGCGCAGAUAUCAGGAGGAACACCGGUGGCGAAGGCGGGUCUCUGGGCAGUAACUGACGCUGAGGAGCGAAAGCGUGGGGAGCGAACAGGAUUAGAUACCCUGGUAGUCCACGCCGUAAACGGUGGGUACUAGGUGUGGGUUUCCUUCCUUGGGAUCCGUGCCGUAGCUAACGCAUUAAGUACCCCGCCUGGGGAGUACGGCCGCAAGGCUAAAACUCAAAGAAAUUGACGGGGGCCCGCACAAGCGGCGGAGCAUGUGGAUUAAUUCGAUGCAACGCGAAGAACCUUACCUGGGUUUGACAUGCACAGGACGCUGGUAGAGAUAUCAGUUCCUUGUGGCCUGUGUGCAGGUGGUGCAUGGCUGUCGUCAGCUCGUGUCGUGAGAUGUUGGGUUAAGUCCCGCAACGAGCGCAACCCUUGUCUCAUGUUGCCAGCACGUAAUGGUGGGGACUCGUGAGAGACUGCCGGGGUCAACUCGGA
rnacentral:rRNA from 1 species